rnacentral:tRNA from 1 species
GCCUCGGUAGCGCAGUAGGCAGCGCGUAAGUCUCAUAAUCUUAAUAAGGUCGUGAGUUCGAUCCUCACCCGGGGCA